rnacentral:tRNA from 1 species
GCAGUGGUGGUUCACUGGUAGAAUUCUCACUUUCCAUGAAGAAAACCUGGGUUUGAUUCCUGGCCAAUGCA